UGGGGAAUUUUGGACAAUGGGCGCAAGCCUGAUCCAGCCAUGCCGCGUGCGGGAAGAAGGCCUUCGGGUUGUAAACCGCUUUUGUCAGGGAAGAAAUCUUCUGAGUUAAUACCUCGGGAGGAUGACGGUACCUGAAGAAUAAGCACCGGCUAACUACGUGCCAGCAGCCGCGGUAACACGUAGGGUGCAAGCGUUAAUCGGAAUUACUGGGCGUAAAGCGUGCGCAGGCGGUUUUGUAAGACAGAGGUGAGAUCCCCGGGCUCAACCUGGGAACUGCCUUUGUGACUGCAAGGCUUGAGUGCGGCAGAGGGGGGAUGGAAUUCCGCGUGUAGCAGUGAAAUGCGUAGAUAUGCGGAGGAACACCGAUGGCGAAGGCAAUCCCCUGGGCCUGCACUGACGCUCAUGCACGAAAGCGUGGGGAGCAAACAGGAUUAGAUACCCUGGUAGUCCACGCCCUAAACGAUGUCAACUGGUUGUUGGGAAGGUUCCUUCUCAGUAACGUAGCUAACGCGUGAAGUUGACCGCCUGGGGAGUACGGCCGCAAGGUUGAAACUUAAAUGAAUUGACGGGGUCAUAGCUGUUUCC
rnacentral:rRNA from 1 species